rnacentral:rRNA from 1 species
UACGUAGGUGGCAAGCGUUGUCCGGAUUUACUGGGCGUAAGGAGCGCGCAGGCGGUCGAAUAAGUCGAAUGUGAAAGCCCCCGGCUCAACUGGGGAGGGUCAUUCGAUACUGCUCGACUUGAAGGCAGGAGAGGGUAGUGGAAUUCCCGGUGUAGUGGUGAAAUGCGUAGAUAUCGGGGGGAACACCAGUGGCGAAGGCGACUACCUGGCCUGUUCUUGACGCUGAGGCGCGAAAGCUGGGGGAGCAAACGGG